UAGCCUGAUGCAGCCAUGCCGCGUGUGUGAAGAAGGCCUUCGGGUUGUAAAGCACUUUCAGCGGGGAGGAAGGCGAUAAGGUUAAUAACCUUGUCGAUUGACGUUACCCGCAGAAGAAGCACCGGCUAACUCCGUGCCAGCAGCCGCGGUAAUACGGAGGGUGCAAGCGUUAAUCGGAAUUACUGGGCGUAAAGCGCACGCAGGCGGUCUGUCAAGUCGGAUGUGAAAUCCCCGGGCUCAACCUGGGAACUGCAUUCGAAACUGGCAGGCUAGAGUCUUGUAGAGG
rnacentral:rRNA from 1 species